UACAGAGGGUGCUAGCGUUAAUCGGAUUUACUGGGCGUAAAGCGUGUGUAGGCGGUUUGUUAAGUCGGGUGUGAAAUCCCUGGGCUCAACCCGGGAAUUGCAUUCGAUACUGGCAAGCUAGAGUACGGUAGAGGGCGGCGGAAUUCCGGGUGUAGCGGUGAAAUGCGUAGGUAUCCGGAGGAACACCGAUGGCGAAGGCGGCCCCCUGGUUGGAUACUGACGCUGAGACGCGAAAGCGUGGGGAGCAAACAGG
rnacentral:rRNA from 1 species